CAAGUCGAGCGGAGUUUUGGUGCUCGGCACCAAGACUUAGCGGCGGACGGGUGAGUAAUGCUUAGGAAUCUGCCUAUUAGUGGGGGACAACGUUUCAAAAGGAACGCUAAUACCGCAUACUUCCUACGGGAGAAAGCAGGGGAUCUUUGGACCUUGCGCUAAUAGAUGAGCCUAAGUCGGAUUAGCUAGUUGGUGGGGUAAAGGCCUACCAAGGCGACAAUCUGUAGCGGGUCUGAGAGGAUGAUCCGCCACACUGGGACUGAGACACGGCCCAAACUCCUACGGGAGGCAGCAGUGGGGAAUAUUGGACAAUGGGCGAAAGCCUGAUCCAGCCAUGCCGCGUGUGUGAAGAAGGCCUUUUGGUUGUAAAGCACUUUAAGCGAGGAGGAGGAGCUUCAGGUUAAUACCCUGGAUGCUUGGACGUUACUCGCAGAAUAAGCACCGGCUAACUCUGUG
rnacentral:rRNA from 1 species